rnacentral:lncRNA from 1 species
GAGUAGCCGGAGCCCAGGCCGCCCGCGGGAAGACGCAGCUCGACGGCACCGGGUUCGGUACUGGGAGAGUGGCUAUCCCUGCUGUGUUCGCUGUAUUUGUGACGAAUCAUACAGGGACAUCCAGUUUUUCAGUAUCAAAUACUGCUCGGGAGCACUCCCUGGACCGUGUCCUGCCGUCAGGAAGGGGGGCUUGCUUCAGAACCCAGCCCCUGCCGAGGUACGUACGUGGAUGGCCGAUGGCAGGGCACCUGCCUCCUCCUCGGUGGGUGUCGCCCAUCGCCCAUGCGACCAGAAUCCGGUCCCUGGGGAAGGGCAGCCUAAGAAGGCAGUGGCUGUGCUCGAUGGACGGAGCCCUCACCGGCCGCCCUUCCUGCUGCAGCCCCAGGGCCAACUCCUUUUGAGAGCCAGCGCCUCCCCGGGAAGGCUGUCUGGGAGCGGGGCCGCUCUCUGCGAGCCACGGCUGUGCCGCUGGUGUGCGUGGGGACGUGGAGCCGAACCCAGGUCCUGAUGGGGCCCGCUGUGGUGACUGCGCUGGGGGAGGGAAGCCUGCUCUGACCACCGGGCUUGUCCGAUGGGGGUCUCAGCCUGCUCUGACCACCGGGCUUGUCCGAUGGGGGUCUCUCUCAUUCUGUAUCAUAUUCUCUCAAUGCUAGUGUCUCCCCACGGCCCGCAAGGGACGGUUCAGUGAGCCCACAGACCAGGAUGGACUGUUCUGGCUGAUGCUGGACCUCAGCCUGAGCUGUGGACAAGACACACACUCUGGGGGGCGAGGCGGACGGCGACACGUGUGUUAGGGGACAUCACGUCACCUACGGUUCGGUGUUAGAGCAAGAAGGAACAGGAUGGCAGAAAGAGGCAGGGAACAGCAUGAGGACACAGCGACUGCUGGUGACGGGCUGUGGCUCCACGUGUGUCACACAGGAGUGGAGUGUGGGAGUGGGAGACGGGGUCUCCUGCUGAGCUCUGGGCACCCGGAUGGGCUUCAGACCUGGUCCCAUGGCCCAAAGGUCUUCUGGGGCGGAUGGACAGUGGUUUUUGUUCAGCACCCUUCUUGGAAUUGCUUUCUUUGGCAGUUCUUGGGGGUGAGAUGGGUGGCGGAGCAGGGGGAGCCUCUCACAGACCCCCCAAGGGUGCCCCCUGAGCUGCCUGCCCGAUCUCUGCAGGAGGCCCUGCGGGGGCCCUGGGUGGCUCCCACGGGAGCACCCCUCACCCCAGUUCAUGGGCCCCACAGGCUGUGGCGCCAGUGGCUGACCGUUCUGUCGAGAGAUCCAGGCCCUGGGGCCACACCCCCACGGAGGACUCUGCACCUGCGACAGAAACCUCUACGCUCGGCGGCGUGGACUCGGCCUCACUGCAGGGGAGGUGGCGCGUGCAGGACGGCGGCUGGAGUACCAAAUGCUACCUCUAAGGACCCGCCGGACAACCAGGGCAACUCCAGGAAAGCCGGGCCUCUCUCAGCCGCGUGGAGCCGGGCACCGACGGCUGGCCGCGGACAGCGCUCGCUCGACCUCCCUGUAAGUCGCCCGAUCCGGUCCGUCUGCGGGAGGCCUUCCAUGGCCGUGCCACCGGCGUUGCCUCCGAAGACUGGGAAGAGCAGUGUCCUGGGCUCCGGGCCAGCUGUGGAAGAGAUGUUGGUGCCAGCACCAUCCAGGGUGUGUGACUGGUUGACCAGAGGGCGUGCGCUGUGUUCACCCUGUGGGCCACCUAGUCACCAACCCUCAGCAUCAACCCCACCCCAGGAAGACAUCGGAGACCUCGCCGCUGCUGGAGAAGUGGCCGUGGACAUAGUGGGACUGCGCGGUGGACCUGCACGAGCCGUGGCCGUGGGGGUGUGCGGUUACUUAGAUGCAAGGAGUCCUCCUUGGGAGCUCGCUCAGCCUCCACCAGCUGGUGACUUCCCAGGAGGGACGGAACGUGGGCCAGCCCCACUCCUGGGUGUGUGGCUGCAAAACACGUGCAUCAUGUUAUCACGCGUGUCUCCCAGCCCCCUAACCCCCAGCACCCCGUUUCUCCAUAGCAGGAGCCCCCCGGGGUGCUGGCCGUGA